GGUCAAGUUAUUAAGGGUGCAGGGCGGAUGCCUUGGCACUAGGAGCCGAUGAAGGACGUGAUAAGCUGCGAUAAGCUUCGGGGAGUUGCACGUAAACUUUGAUCCGAAGAUUUCCGAAUGAGGAAACUCACUUAGAGUAAUGUCUAAGUAUCAUUAAGUGAAUACAUAGCUUAAUGAGGGGAACUCAGGGAACUGAAACAUCUAAGUACCUGAAGGAAGAGAAAGAAAUUCGAUUCCGUAAGUAGCGGCGAGCGAACGCGGAUUAGCCCAAACCAAUAAAGUUUUCUUUAUUGGGGUUGCGGACAUAUCAUAACGAAGAGGUAUCGUAAUUGAAGAGGUUUGGAAAGACCCACCACAGAAGGUAAUAGUCCUGUAUGUUAAACGAGAAGACUUUAGAUAUGAUCCAGAGUACCACGGGACACGUGAAACCCUGUGGGAAGCAGGAGGGACCACCCUCCAAGGCUAAAUACUACCUAGUGACCGAUAGCGUAUAGUACCGUGAGGGAAAGGUGAAAAGAACCCCGGGAGGGGAGUGAAAUAGAACCUGAAACCCUGCACUUACAAGCUGUGGAAGCACAUUUCUUGUGUGACCGCGUACUUUUUGUAGAACGGGCCAACGAGUUACGUUAAGUAGCAAGGUUAAGCACUUAAGGUGCGGAGCCGUAGCGAAAGCGAGUUUUAACUGAGCGUUCAGUUACUUGACGUAGACCCGAAACCGGGCGACCUACCCAUGAGCAGGAUGAAGCGAAAGUAAAAUUUCGUGGAGGUCCGAACCCACGAGCGUUGAAAAGCUCGGGGAUGACUUGUGGGUAGCGGUGAAAUUCCAAUCGAGCCCGGAGAUAGCUGGUUCUCCCCGAAAUAGCUUUAGGGCUAGCCUCAAGGUGAGAGAUACGGAGGUAGAGCACUGAAUGUCCUAGGGGGUAUUGCACCUACCGAAGACUAUCAAACUCCGAAUGCCGUCAUCUUAUACUUGGGAGUCAGACUGUGGGUGAUAAGAUUCAUAGUCGAAAGGGCAACAGCCCAGAUCGUCAGCUAAGGUCCCUAAAUGUAAGUUAAGUGGUAAAGGAUGUGGGAUUGCACAGACAACCAGGAUGUUGGCUUAGAAGCAGCCACUCAUUCAAAGAGUGCGUAAUAGCUCACUGGUCGAGUGAUCCUGCGCCGAAGAUUUCCGGGGCUAAAACUUACUACCGAAGCUACGGCAUCAGUAAUGAUGGGUAGGGGAGCUUCCCAUACGGGUUGAAGCAUGACCGUAAGGACAUGUGGACAGUAUGGGAGUGAGAAUGUUGGCAUGAGUAGCGAGAUGUGGGUGAGAAUCCCACAGGCCGUAAACCCAAGGUUUCCAGGGGAAGGUUCGUCCGCCCUGGGUUAGUCGGGACCUAAGCUGAGGCCGAAAGGCGUAGGUGAUGGACAACAGGUUGAUAUUCCUGUACUACCGAUAACCGUUUGAGAGAAGGGAUGACACAGUAGGAUAAGCUAAGCACACUGUUGGUUAUGUGUGCCCAAGCAUUGAGGCAGUCAAAGUAGGCAAAUCCGCUUUGAUAAUGCUGGGAUGUGAUGGGGAGCGAAAUUUAGUAGCGAAGUAGCUGAUUUCACACUGUCAAGAAAAGUCUCUAUCGAGGUUAAAGGUACCCGUACCGCAAACCGACACAGGUGGGUGAGGAGAGUAUCCUAAGGCCAGCGAGAGAACUGUUGUUAAGGAACUCGGCAAAAUGACCCCGUAACUUAGGGAUAAGGGGUGCCACCAUCAGGUGGCCGCAGAGAAUAGGCCCAAGCGACUGUUUACCAAAAACAUAGGUUUCUGCUAAGUCGCAAGACGAUGUAUAGGAGCUGACGCCUGCCCGGUGCUGGAAGGUUAAGGGGAUCUGUUAGAGCAAUCGAAGCAGUGAACUUAAGCCCCAGUAAACGGCGGCCGUAACUAUAACGGUCCUAAGGUAGCGAAAUUCCUUGUCGGGUAAGUUCCGACCCGCACGAAAGGCGUAACGAUUUGGGCACUGUCUCAACAACAGACUCGGUGAAAUUGUAAUUCCGGUGAAGAUGCCGGAUACCUGCGACAGGACGGAAAGACCCCAUGGAGCUUUACUGUAGCUUGACAUUGGGUCUUGGUACUACAUGUACAGGAUAGGUGGGAGGCUUUGAAACCAGGACGCCAGUUUUGGCGGAGCCAUCCUUGGGAUACCACCCUUGUAGUACUGGGACUCUAACCAUAGGCCAUGAAUCUGGUCUUGGGACACUGUCAGGUGGGCAGUUUGACUGGGGCGGUCGCCUCCCAAAAGGUAACGGAGGCGCUCAAAGGUUCUCUCAGUACGGUCGGAAAUCGUACGUAGAGUGUAAAGGCAAAAGAGAGCUUGAUUGCAAGACAUACAGGUCGAGCAAGGAUGAAAAUCGGACUUAGUGAUCCGGUGGUUCUGCGUGGAAGGGCCAUCGCUCAACGGAUAAAAGCUACCCUGGGGAUAACAGGCUUAUCUCCCCCAAGAGUCCACAUCGACGGGGAGGUUUGGCACCUCGAUGUCGGCUCAUCACAUCCUGGGGCUGUAGUAGGUCCCAAGGGUUGGGCUGUUCGCCCAUUAAAGUGGUACGCGAGCUGGGUUCAGAACGUCGUGAGACAGUUCGGUCCCUAUCCGUCGCAGGCGUAGGAAAUUUGAGAAGACCUGUCCUUAGUACGAGAGGACCGGGAUGGACGUACCUCUGGUGUACCAGUUGUCCUGCCAAGGGCAUGGCUGGGUAGCUAUGUACGGAAUGGAUAAGCGCUGAAAGCAUCUAAGCGCGAAGCCAACUUCAAGAUAAGAUUUCCCACCGCAAGGGUAAGACCCCAGAAAGACUAUCUGGUUGAUAGGUCGAA
rnacentral:rRNA from 1 species